rnacentral:tRNA from 1 species
GCCCGAGUGGCGCAACGGCAGCGCACCCGAUUUGUAAUCGGGGGGUUAGUGGGUUCGAAUCCCCUCUCGGGCUCCA